GCCACCGUAGCUCAGUCUGGUUAGAGCACCAGUUUCAUAGGCUGGGGGUCGAGGGUUCAGAUCCCUCCGGUGGCA
rnacentral:tRNA from 1 species